UGCAUAUCCAAAAAGCGGAGGAAAAGAAACCAACAGGGAUUGCCUCAGUAACGGCGAGUGAAGCGGCAAAAGCUCAAAUUUGAAAUCUAGCACCUUCGGUGUUUGAGUUGUAAUUUGAAGAUGGUAACCUUGGGUUUGGCUCUUGUCUAUGUUCCUUGGAACAGGACGUCAUAGAGGGUGAGAAUCCCGUCUGAUGAGAUGCCCAUUCCUAUGUAAGGUGCUAUCGAAGAGUCGAGUUGUUUGGGAAUGCAGCUCUAAGUGGGUGGUAAAUUCCAUCUAAAGCUAAAUAUUGGCGAGAGACCGAUAGCGAACAAGUACAGUGAUGGAAAGAUGAAAAGAACUUUGAAAAGAGAGUGAAAAAGUACGUGAAAUUGUUGAAAGGGAAGGGCAUUAGAUCAGACUUGGUGUUUUACGAUUAUCUUCUCUUCUUGAGUUGUGCACUCGUAUUUCACUGGGCCAGCAUCGAUUCGGAUGGCAAGAUAAUGGCAGUUGAAUGUGGCUUCACUUCGGUGGAGUGUUAUAGCUUCUGCUGAUAUUGCCUGUCUGGAUCGAGGGCUGCGUCUUUUGACUAGGAUGCUGGCGUAAUGAUCUAAUGCCGCCCGUCUUGAACCCACGGACCA
rnacentral:rRNA from 1 species